ACAACAGGAACACAUAUAGCUGGAAUGCAGAUGGGAUCUGUGCUACUUACGCUAGCCAUGGGAUGAUUAGAACAAGAUAAGAGACAUGAGGAAGACUUCUUCAAGGAGGUGCUCAAGCCAUGUUUUGGAAAAGAGAACUCAAGGUCUGGCAGGGAGAAAGGAGCAAGGUCCUCUUCUCCCUGAAGGCUGUCACAGUUCCUGUGCAGAGAGAGAGGGCACUGCAGCACCCAGGCGCUGACUGCCUUUUGUCAGUCUCAUUUGCAGGCCCCCAGCUGGAGAACCCAGGAGGAAGAGGAAAAAAGUUUUUUCCUCCUCUACACUCCCCAUGCAUGACUAAAGAGUAGGAGGAGUCAGCAAGGCAGACAUAUAUAGUACCCAGGAGGUGGACAAACAACUGCCUUGGUGGAAACUCUGUCCUUUCUGGACUUAUCCUGGUGCCACUGAGACUGUGCAGAUUUAGAUCUACAAUCCACCUGGAAUUGAUUUUUGUAUAUGGAGUGAGGUCCCACACUUACAGGGAAAGCAUCACCCGAAAGUGAGAAUGCCUAGAGGCAGGAAUCAUGGAGGCUUCCUUAACCGUCUGUCUGCAACAGCAGGUGCUAGAGAUGACACUGCAGAGUAGAGAACAAAGGAAUCUUAGUAAUUGUUCAAUCCAAUCUCCACACUUUAAAGAUGAAGAAACUGGUAUUGAGAAAAAUACACAGCUUAUCCAAGGUUGCACUGCUGGUUGGUAGCUGAGAUGAAUUUAGAACCCACAUCUGAUGACUACACCAUAUUGCUCCCAGUUUUCCUGUCUGUUCCACAUGACACCAGCCAUCAGGCCUCCCAGAUAGAGUCAAGGAAUGGAAACUUACCCAGUCACCACAUCUGGGAAACACCAGACCCCUUGCCCAUCAUGAUUGCCUAACUGCUGCCUGUGGAUCAGCUCUUCUUCCUUAUCCCCUCCCUCAUUCCUGUUUUCCCACACUUAGUUGCAUUUCUUCCCUGCUAUAUAGACUCCGAAUUUUAGUCAGCUGAGGAGACAAAUUUGAAACUGAUCUUCCAUUCUCCAUCGCUGCAGCACCUGAAUAAAGCCUUCUUCCCUGGCAAUACUCAGUGAUUGGCUUUCUGUGCAGCGAGCAACAGGACCUAGACCAAAUCCCUGGCGUUUCAG
rnacentral:lncRNA from 1 species